AUACUUACCUGGCGUAGGAGAUACCGUGAUCAUGAAGGCGGUUCUCCAGAGCGAGGCCUCACCAUUGCGCUGCGGUGGAGUCGACCUCUGCGAUUAUCCCUUUGCCCAGACCAACAUGUCGCUCGAGGGAUCCUGUUGCCUGCAGAUC
rnacentral:misc_RNA from 1 species